UACGAAGGGGGCUAGCGUUGCUCGGAAUCACUGGGCGUAAAGCGCACGUAGGCGGCUUACUAAGUCAGGGGUGAAAUCCUGGAGCUCAACUCCAGAACUGCCUUUGAUACUGGUGAGCUUGAGUCCGGAAGAGGUGAGUGGAACUGCGAGUGUAGAGGUGAAAUUCGUAGAUUAUUCGCAAGAACACCAGUGGCGAAGGCGGCUCACUGGCCCGGUAUGACGCUGAGGUGCGAAAGCGUGGGGAGCAAACAGGG
rnacentral:rRNA from 1 species